AACGAACGCUGGCGGCAGGCUUAACACAUGCAAGUCGAACGCCACGCAAGGGGAGUGGCAGACGGGUGAGUAACGCGUGGGAACAUACCCUUUCCUGCGGAAUAGCUCUGGGAAACUGGAAUUAAUACCGCAUACGCCCUACGGGGGAAAGAUUUAUCGGGGAAGGAUUGGCCCGCGUGGGAUUAGCUAGUUGGUGGGGUAAAGGCCUACAAAGGCGACGAUCCAUAGCUGGUCUGAGCGGAUGAUCAGCCAUAUUGGGACUGAGACACGGCCCAAACUCCUACGAGAGGCAGCGGUGGGGAAGAUUGGACAAUGGGCGCAACCCUGAUCCAGCCAUGCCGCGUUAAUGAUGAAGGCCUUAGGGUUGUAAAGCUCUUUCACCGAUGAAGAUAAUGACGGUAGGCAGAGAAGAAGCCCCGGCUAACUUCGUGCCAGCAGCCGCCGUAAGAC
rnacentral:rRNA from 1 species